AUUGAACGCUGGCGGCAGGCCUAACACAUGCAAGUCGAGCGAGCGGCGGACGGGUGAGUAAUGUCUGGGAAACUGCCUGAUGGAGGGGGAUAACUACUGGAAACGGUGGCUAAUACCGCAUACUAUCAGAUGCGCCCAGAUGGGAUUAGCUAGUAGGUGGGGUAAAGGCUCACCUAGGCGACGAUCCCUAGCUGGUCUGAGAGGAUGACCAGCCACACUGGGACUGAGACACGGCCCAGACUCCUACGGGAGGCAGCAGUGGGGAAUAUUGCACAAUGGGCGCAAGCCUGAUGCAGCCAUGCCGCGUGUAUGAAGAAGGCCGUCGGGUUGUAAAGCACUUGCAGCGGGGAGGCGUUACUCGCAGAAGAAGCACCGGCUAACUCCGUGCCAGCAGCCGCGGUAAUAC
rnacentral:rRNA from 1 species